GUCUACGGCCAUGCAACCUGUCUGAUCUCGGAAGCUAAGCAGGAUCGGGCCUGGUUAGUACUUGGAUGAGAGACCACCUAGGAAGACUACAUGCUGUAGGCA
rnacentral:rRNA from 1 species